AUUGAACGCUGGCGGCAGGCCUAACACAUGCAAGUCGAACGGUAACAGGAAGCAGCUUGCUGCUUCGCUGACGAGUGGCGGACGGGUGAGUAAUGUCUGGGAAACUGCCUGAUGGAGGGGGAUAACUACUGGAAACGGUAGCUAAUACCGCAUAACGUCGCAAGACCAAAGAGGGGGACCUUAGGGCCUCUUGCCAUCGGAUGUGCCCAGAUGGGAUUAGCUAGUAGGUGGGGUAACGGCUCACCUAGGCGACGAUCCCUAGCUGGUCUGAGAGGAUGACCAGCCACACUGGAACUGGGACACGGUCCAGACUCCUACGGGAGGCAGCAGUGGGGAAUAUUGCACAAAGGGCGCAAGCCUGAUGCAGCCAUGCCGCGUGUAUGAAGAAGGCCUUCGGGUUGUAAAGUACUUUCAGCGGGGAGGAAGGGAGUAAAGUUAAUACCUUUGCUCAUUGACGUUACCCGCAGAAGAAGCACCGGCUAACUCCGUG
rnacentral:rRNA from 1 species